UAUUGACAUUCAAUUCCAAACACUCGGUCGGGCACGCGUGUCUUUGCGCCUUUUUGCCUUUCUCCUUUUUUUUUUUACUCUUUAAACACAACUUUACAUUUUUCGACAAUUUCGUGGCGCGUACAGGCAACACAGAAAAAAGAAAACAAGACAAAUCGUUGGCCCUGCUGUGGAUGUGUCAAACGCCAGUGUUAUUCAUGUGUGACACAACAUAGAAAUAAAACAUACAACAACAUACACCUUGCAGCUGGAACAACAUAGGAAUUAGGCGUCGCACUGGUCGAGUCGAGGGAAGGUCCUGGGAAAGUGAACAAUACUACAUACAUAUAGCCACUCCGCAGCGAGAUACAGGGUGCCAUGUGGAGUCCCACACACUGCAAUGUAACGGUGCAGCGGGCGAAGGGCCUGCUCACCAAGGGCAAGAACGGCACCAACAACUGCUUCGUCACAAUCGCCCUGGGCAAGGAGAAGUACCAGACGUCGGUCAAGGACAAGUCCGAGGCUAAUGUCAACUGGAACGAGGAGUGUGAACUAAAAAUCCCCGAUCAGGGCAACCGGGCAGAGCUGACGCUCACCUGCUUGCACCGCAAUAAUCUGGGCAUCGAUGAGUUCCUGGGGCAGGCGACGCUGCCGCUCAACGAGAUGGACGUGUACGACAGGCCGCGCUCCAAGUGGUUCAAGCUGGAGAGCAAGCCGGGCAAGGAGAAGAAGAACAAGGAGCGCGGCGAGCUGGAGGUGCGCAUCGGGUUCGUGGUCAAGUCCGGCUCCCUCACGGACCUCAGCAAGAAGGACAAGCACAAGUCUUCCAUUGGGCAGCUGGCCAGCUCCGUCGGCGGCAGCCUGCUCUCCAUCGGCAACGGGGAGAAGCGCAAGAGCAUAAAGAAGCUGGCGGGGUCGCUCAGCUCCAAGCUGCAUCUGCGCAGCAAGAAGAAGCACGCGGACGCCGGCGGCGACGACAACAGCUCCUUCAGCGGCUCCUUUGCCAGCAUCGGCACCCCGAACAGCUCCACCGGCGGCCCAGGGGGUAGCGGCCGCCGCCGGGGCCAGCGGGCGGGCGAGGCCGAUCCCGGCGUGAUCAGCGAGGACGAGGAUGAGUUCGUGUUCGACAAUCUGUCGCACAAGAGCUCCGGCAGCUCCCUGAACAUCCAGCGGUCGGGACUCCAGCCGCCACCCACCACCACGGGGGGAGGAGCGCCCAAUUUCGCGCCCCGCAAUCCCUCGCCCCUGCUGAGCAAUGGGAACGGUGGUGGGGGCCUGGGCAACGGCCUGGGGGGCAUCGGGAACGGCGUGGGAAAGGUCUAUCAUGGAGGUAAGCCCAAAAAGCCAGAGACGCUCGAUGAGGAUCCGCCCAUCGAUGCGGAGAUGGAACAGCUUGAGCUCGAUUUCAGUGUCCGCGCUCGCACCCUGCCGCCUCCCUCGAAGCCGCCGCGCAUCCCCCAGCUCCAGCUGGAGCAGGAGGAGGAGGAGCAGCAGCAGCAGGCCGAAAAGGAGCAGCAGCAGCAGCAGAAACAGAGGGAACUGGAAAUGGAGAGGGAACGGGAACGGGAAAGAGAGAAGCAAAAGGAUAGGGAGACGACGGAGAGCGACAAGGAUGAGUGGGCGUCGAAGCUUUACGGAGGCCUGGAGAUCGGCACCAGCGAUUCCCUCAAGCGCCGCAGCUGGGAAUCGCGUGUACCGCUCCCAGCCAGCGUGGAUGAGACACCGCCACCGCUCCCCCCUCCGUCCGUGUCCUCGUCCAGUUCCUCGGACAGCGAUGAGGAGGAGGAGGAGGAGCCAGUGCCACUGCCACUGCCAAAACCAAAACCAAAGGCACCCAAGGCAGCAGCUCCCCCCAUUCCGGUUCGUGCUGCAGCUGCAGCUCCAGAGUCAGUCCUAGUCCCAGUCCCAGUCCCAGUCCCAUCUGUGUCCACUGUGACCUCUUCUUCGCUCUUCUCCCCCGACGUGGAGCAGCGCAACUUUGACGAGUUCAACGCGAGCUUCGCCAAGUUCGAGCAGCGCAACAGCACGGCCAUCUUUGCGGAUGAGCCGGAGCUGGAGGAUCUGGACGUGGAAGUGGUGAAGCCCACGCCUACGGCACGGCCAAAACCGCAGCCUCGUUCUCUGGUGGAUCUCAGGGCGGAGGCGGAGCGAGCAGAGGAGGAGGCGCGUCAGCAGCGAGCCGCGGAAGACGCUCGCCUGGAGGCAGAGCUGCGGCUAAACGAGCAGCGGCUGCGCGUCGAGGAGGCAGCCCUGAGGCAGGAGCUGGAGGAGGAGCAGCGCCAGAAGGAGCUGCUGGAGGAGCAGCAGCGGCGCGAGGCCAAGCGAUGGGAGGAGGACCAGAGGCUGCUCAGCUUUGCCAAGCGAUCCACGUCCCUGGAGGAGGAGCAGCCGCAGCAACAGCAGCAGCGGCAGCGGCAGCUGGAGAUGGCGCAGGAGGAGCAGCAGCAGCAGCAGGCCGAGCCAGAACCAGAGGCAGAACUAGAACUAGAACUCGAGCCCGAGCCAGAGCCAGAGCACAAUUUCCUAACGCCCGAACAGUCGCCCAAGGAGUUCCAAACGAACGGCGGCGGCACUGGCAGCGGUAGCGGCAGCGGCAGGGAGAAGCGUCUGGGAAAGUUCAAAUACGGCAAUAAGCGAGAUAAAUACAGCAACGACAACGGAAGCAACUCGCCGAGUCCCAAGUCCACAGAGCGAAUCAUCAUUGGCCACGAGAAGUCUGGGGGAUCGCACGCGGAACGCCGCUCGGAAAUCUCAGCACAGCUGGCGAAGAAGUACGAGGGCAAGUCGCGGGAGGAGCUGAUGCUGAUUGCCAAUGGCAUGGAGAACGAGGCUCUGCUGCAGCGGCAGCGCGUCAAGGAGCUGGAGGACUAUCUGGACAAUCUGCUGCUGCGAGUGAUGGAGACGCACCCGAAGAUACUGCAGAAUCCCUACUCGCGCACCACCUCCGCCAAAAGUUAUAAAAACUACAUCAAUAUGAAUGACUUUCUAAAGUAAGUGGCCGCCGCUGUGCAUGUUGCAAGUUGCAUUUAAGUAGCACUUAACCACCACCACCACAACCACCACCACCACGACCCCCCCAAAACAACAACAACAACCAACAACAACCAACAACACAAGCAACCAGCAAACGACCCACAACAAAAGAACCAACCCACAAUGCGACACACACAGGAGAAAGCAGCAGAGGGCAGAAGUCGAAGUACCAGAAGGCAGUCGAAGGCAGUCUCAGGCAGUAACCAGAGGGAAGCGUUGGACACCCUCACACUGAUGUCCAGUCCAGUCUAGGAUGAACGGUUGAGCAGCAGCAGCAGCAGCAGCAGCAGCCUCAGCAGCAGAAACCUUUCGUCGCGUGGCAGUUCCGUGGAGGAGUUGCAGUUGCAGUUGCAUAAAUGUAAAAUGUAAAUCAAUCCGAACACCAAGUUGCCUUUUGUCGCCAAAACAGCGAAAUUCAAGUGCUUUCUUAACUCUAAUUUAAGUACUCCUCGUAUCUGAGCAGAAGGGAAACUAUAACUAAAACUAUAACUAAAUCGUACACGUAAUCACAUAGAUUUUAAGCAGGAGAAGAGACAGGCAGAGGGGGGGCAGGCGAAGAUCAAAUAUUUGUAUUUUGUUUUUAAACUGAUGAUUGAUUCGGAUUGAUUCCCUCGUCUCGCCUCGUACUCUCCGCAUGUAGCUCCAAACAUAAAACAAAAACAAAAAAACUAAACUAAAUUAUUUGUACCUACUAUACACAUACGAUCGCUGUUACGAUCGCUGGAGACAAUUGAUAAUUGGUUUUUACCCCAAAAUUGGAUUGUUUGCCCCCCAUCUAUCGGUUGAUUGAUUGAAAUUAUCCCAAAAGUAUUUUUGUUUGUUUGCCUGUUUGUUCUUUUUUUUUUAUAUAUGUCAAAUUUGUGUAACCCCCUCCCCCUUAGAGAAUUAAGCCCUAAAUUAUUUAUGUUUUAGCAAUUAAGUGAAAGCAAAGGGGAGUGGCUGCAGUUGAAUAUGUGUUGAUACAUACAAUGAUUUUACCUAUUGAUAUAUACACCCAAAACAGAAUAAAAACAUUUUAAUAUUAAUAC